rfam:Angiostrongylus cantonensis strain Taiwan genome assembly, scaffold: ACAC_contig0009709
GCCCGGUUAGCUCAGUAGGUAGGGUACCAGACUCUUAAUCUGGCUGGCUUGGGUUCGAGCCCCGCAUCAGGAU